CACGUAGGGCGCAAGCGUUGUCCGGAAUUAUUGGGCGUAAAGGGUGCGUAGGUGGCGCGGUAAGUGUGUCUGUCAAGAUCAGGGCUCAACCCUGGGAAAUGGACGCCGACUGCCGAGCUAGAGUGUGUUAGGGGCAAGCGGAAUUCCUGGUGUAGCAGUGAAAUGUAUAGAGAUCAGGAGGAACACCGGUGGCGAAGGCGGCUUGCUGGGACACAACUGACACUGAAGCACGAAAGCUAGGGUAGCAAACGGG
rnacentral:rRNA from 1 species